rnacentral:rRNA from 1 species
UACAGAGGUGGCAAGCGUUGUUCGGAAUUACUGGGCGUAAAGCGUGCGCAGGCGGUUUUGUAAGCCAGAUGUGAAAUCCCCGGGCUUAACCUGGGAAUGGCAUUUGGGACUGCAAGGCUUGAGUUUGGCAGAGGAGACUGGAAUUCCUGGUGUAGCAGUGAAAUGCGUAGAUAUCAGGAGGAAUACCGAUGGCGAAGGCAGGUCUCUGGGCUGAAACUGACGCUCAUGCACGAAAGCGUGGGGAGCAAACAGG